GACGAACGCUGGCGGCGUGCUUAACACAUGCAGGUCGAACGGAAAGGCCCUGCUUUUGUGGGGUGCUCGAGUGGCGAACGGGUGAGUAACACGUGAGUAACCUGCCCUUGACUUUGGGAUAACUUCAGGAAACUGGGGCUAAUACCGGAUAUGAGCUCCUGCUGCAUGGUGGGGGUUGGAUAGUUUCGGCGGUUGGGGAUGGACUCGCGGCUUAUCAGCUUGUUGGUGGGGUAGUGGCUGACCAAGGCUUUGUCGGGUAGCCGACCUGUGAGGGUGACCGGCCAAAGUAGGACUGAGAUACGGCCCAGACGCGUACGGUAGGCAGCGGUGGGGAAUAUUGCACAAUGGGCGGAAGCCUGAUGCAGCAACGCCGCGUGCGGGAUGACGGCCUUCGGGUUGUGAACCGCUUUCGCCUGUGACGAAGAGUGAGUGACGGUAAUGGGUAAAGAAGCACCGGCUAACUACGUG
rnacentral:rRNA from 1 species